rnacentral:lncRNA from 1 species
CAAAAUUGAAAAUGACUCUUUGUGAACAAAUUUUGAAAUUGCAUAAAAACUGAUAAUUUCAUUACAAAUUUUUGAAUCAAUACACUUGAACAUGAUACAACACCACCUAACUAAAAAAGAAAAAUAGCACAAUCACUACCUACAAAAAUAAUAUACAAAAAUGCCUCCGUACAAAAAUUUAAUCACCUCUUCCACAAAUAAUAUACAAAAAAAAAAAAAGAACAAUCAUUACCUAUAAAAAUUUGAGGAGACAAUCCAAAUUUUGAGUCGCAAAGCAUAAAAUCUGGAUGCGCACGAAUAACUUCACGCAGUUCAGGAACAAAAAGUUCCCUGUUGUCAUCUAGCAACCUGUUCAAUGCUUCAAGCACAUCAGAUGAAGCCAAGUUGAGCUCAUUGAGAACAAUCCAAUAACCAUUUCGAACAACCUUAACCAAGGCACCCUCAUGGAAAACGAGCUUUCCACUUGCAUCGGUAAUAUAAGAACCUAGGUACUCUUGUAGAUCAGUAUGUUCAUGAUUAUUUAUUUGUACAAAUUGAUGACCAGUUAUCGUAGCAAAAUACUUAACAAGGCUAGUCUUUCCACUAGACAUGGGUCCCUGUAGAAGGACUAGAUAUCUUCCAAUGAAAAUGGCACGAGCCACAUUUUCCAGAUGCUUCUCAACAUUACUUGUUAAAACAUACUCUUCAUCAGAUCCUUUUCUGUGAAUCUACUCCUUAACGAAAAUGCAUGGGCUAAAACUCUUGGACUCGCUGAUUUUGUGACCAAAUUAUGUCGUCUAGGCUUUAGACUUUACCCUUUUUAAUUUUAGCGGAUUUUAUUGUCUAGAUAAUUUAUAUUCACAUUUAGUUAAUUUCUCUAGAGUUUAUCUUUAUCUAGAAGAGUAAUUAUAGUUUGGCAUUUUCUUUAAAAGCUAGGAUUAAUUUAUUAAAAAAGAAAAAGCUAGGACGAAGGCUCACUGUUAUUUGAUUAUUUUUUGAUAAAUUUAAUAAAUUUGUGGAUGAUUUCCUAAUUUGUUCAACGAUAUUGGAGUUUUAUUUCUUAUUUCUCACCUUUUAUGACUGCGUCAGAAUCGCACCCCGCUUCGGUUCAAGUAGGGAAAUGUGAGGAAGAAGUUAAUAUACUUUUACCUUUUAAGUAAAAUACAAGAUUUAGUUAAAAAAUGUUCGAUGAAAAUUUAAGUAGAGACAAUAAUUAUUUUAACCACAUAUUUCAAGGGAUCUACUAUAACACCCCAAAAUCUAUUUCAUUUUUUAAUAAAAAUAGACUUGAAGUGUUACAAAAAUCUCAUUUUCCUAAUUUAAGUAAAAAUUUACUUUUAUUCAAAUUUUGAUAUUUGAUCAAUAAAUUGAGAGUGAUAAAUCAACGAUCUAAUUGAAAAUUUUCAUAUCAAAUAAGAUCUUAAAAUACUACAAUUUCGUACCAUUAAUUUAAAUUUAACAUAGAAUGUCAAAUGUUAAAACACUAAAAAAACUACUAAAUAACAUACACACAAUUUAACAUAAAGAUGUUCUUCAAAUAAAUAUUUUCAAUUAACAUUUCUAGAAAUUUUAUUUGGUAACCCCAUAAGCAUCACUCGUCAAUCUUCCACGCGUUCACACGACCUAUUUUAAUCUGAAAAGUUAUUGUAAGAAUAAGUAAUUUGAAAACACUUAGCAAAACUAUGCGCAAUUCUUAUUUAACAUGGUAUAAAUAUAAAAUGACAUAACAUAUCGACAUUUUUAGAUUUAGAGCAAACUGGUCGCGAUAACCAAUAGCUCAAAGAAUUUCUUAAGAAUUUCUAUAUCCCGUAGAAUUUACAUAUUUGACCCAAUGGUCUAUCCUGGAGAAUUUUACAUAGAAAUUGACCCGAAUGGCUUAUAGUAUUUUAUGCUAAAAUUUAUAUAAAUACCAAGAAAUGAGAAUUUAUCACUUUGCAUUAUGUAUUCUUACCUUAAUUGAUACUCAAAGAAAUCUGAAAAUGCAAUGAUGUUGUGUAAUUUUCUCAACAGUGUACGUGUGAAGUGAAAUUGCAAAGAAUGAAGUGGUGUAAAUUUUUAAAGUGAAAAUAUUAUCCUAGUUAUCUAUACAUAUAUAUAACAUCCAUUAACCACUCAAACAAAACGUUAAAACGUCUCAAGUCAUAAUUGUUAAAAGUUCAAAGGUUAAAUAAAUCAAUUUAUUGCCUCCAUCAAUCAAUCAUACAUCUAUGACUUAAAUGUAGAAUUUAACAUUUUCAUUAAUUAAUUUAUUAAUGAAAUUCAAAUUGAUAUUAACGUUUUUAUAUUUUAUAUAUUAACAAAAUAUUAAAAGAUAACCAUUUUCUUUCUAUUAGAAUAACUAGGACAUAACAAGUUAAACAAAAUAUUUUUUUGAGUUCAAUUUAUGUAAUUUAAUAUGAGCUUCAAAAUUAGUAUAAUUUUGAUAUAUUUUACCAACUUCUAUGAUAUUUAAAUAUUCAAUCCAAAUAAAAUUUACGAUAUAUAUAUAUGUAUGUAUGUAUGUAUGUAUGUAUAUACACACACACACACACAAAAGAAAAUAAAUCAUUUCUGCAAAUAGGUGGUUGAACUUAUCUAUUUAACUUAUUUUAGUGUGAUCACAAGGUUAGAUAUGAACUAUUUCUUUUGCUAAAUGAACAACAUUAAAUUAGGCCCAUAUGAAAAUAGUAAGUAAAAAUUUGAAAUAUUACAUGCCUUCCCCCUUAUUAUAAUUUCGUCCUUGAAAUUAUCGAGAUGGCAUUGUGUCCUUUUGUUGACUUUGGAAAACUUACAACAAAAUCCAUAGCUAUUUACCCCCAUUUUCACUCUGAAAUUUCUAAUGAAUUUAAUGGUCCUGAUGACAUUUAAUGUUCUAUUUUCACUUAUUGACAUACCAUACACUUUUAAAAAUAAAAAAAAAACCCUUUUAUAUUCCUCCAUCAAAAUAUAUCGUGAAGGUAUCGAUACAUUUUUAUACCAUCAGGAUGUGUAGCAUACGGGAUAGCGUGAGCUUUCUUUAAUAUAUCUUUCUUUGUCCAUUCAUCAGACAUAAUCUUCCCUCGAACAUCAAAGCAUUCACUACACCAAAAAAAGGCUUUUGCAGCCGCCAAAAACCGCUGCAAAAGACCUUUUGCAACGUUUUACUGCGUGUUGCGAAGACCGAUGUUGUCAUUGAGGGAAGACUUUUUGCAGCGUUUAUUCAACAUUGCAAAAGUCAGUUUUUUGCAACGUUAGAUAAACGUUGCAAAAGACUUUUUUUUUUUUUUAAACCAAUAUAUAUUAAUUGAUUUGCAAAAUUGAAAAUGACUCUUUGUGAACAAAUUUUGAAAUUGCAUAAAAACUGAUAAUUUCAUUACAAAUUUUUGAAUCAAUACACUUGAACAUGAUACAACACCACCUAACUAAAAAAGAAAAAUAGCACAAUCACUACCUACAAAAAUAAUAUACAAAAAUGCCUCCGUACAAAAAUUUAAUCACCUCUUCCACAAAUAAUAUACAAAAAAAAAAAAAAGAACAAUCAUUACCUAUAAAAAUUUGAGGAGACAAUCCAAAUUUUGAGUCGCAAAGCAUAAAAUCUGGAUGCGCACGAAUAACUUCACGCAGUUCAGGAACAAAAAGUUCCCUGUUGUCAUCUAGCAACCUGUUCAAUGCUUCAAGCACAUCAGAUGAAGCCAAGUUGAGCUCAUUGAGAACAAUCCAAUAACCAUUUCGAACAACCUUAACCAAGGCACCCUCAUGGAAAACGAGCUUUCCACUUGCAUCGGUAAUAUAAGAACCUAGGUACUCUUGUAGAUCAGUAUGUUCAUGAUUAUUUAUUUGUACAAAUUGAUGACCAGUUAUCGUAGCAAAAUACUUAACAAGGCUAGUCUUUCCACUAGACAUGGGUCCCUGUAGAAGGACUAGAUAUCUUCCAAUGAAAAUGGCAC